AGAGUUUGAUCCUGGCUCAGGAUUAACGCUGGCGGUGUGUAUAAUACAUGCAAGUCGAACGAGUCUUCGGACUAGUGGCGGACGAGCGAGUAACACGUUGGAACCUGCCCCGAACUCAGGGAUAAGCACUGGAAACGGUGUCUAAUACCGGAUAGUCCCGAAAGGGUAAAGUUUUUCGGUUCGGGAGGGGCCUGCGGCCUAUCAGCUAGUUGGUAAGGUAAAGGCUUACCAAGGCUACGACGGGUAGCUGGUUUGAGAGAAUGACCAGUCGCGAUGGGACUGAGACACGGCCCAUACUCCUACGGGAGGCAGCAGUAGGGAAUCUUCCGCAAUGGGCGAAAGCCUGACGGAGCAACACCGCGUGGUUGAUGAAGCCCCUUGGGGUGUAAAGACCUUUUCUGGGGGAAGAAUUAUGACGGUACCNNUAG
rnacentral:rRNA from 1 species